CCUAAGAACAUGUCCUAGCGAAGCAGAAACAUUGAUAGGAAUUUCACUCAAUGUCUGAAAACUCAACGUUAAAGAACAUUGCCUCAGCCCCAUCACCUUACGGAGGAGCAGGAGAAUGGAUUCCUCAAGCUCCAAUCUGAGACACUACCUCAUAGCUGGUGGCAGCAAUGGCAUUAAAGAUCCUGCACAGCCAAGACCAGAGGAAAACCCCAUGCCUGAGUGACAGAUGCCACAACCUGAGGACUCUGUGUCUACUUGCAUAAUUGAUCGUACCAUAUAUGCACAAAAGGCC